ACCACACAAGUGAACCAAUACUUCCACACCCCGGGCAUAGAGGAAACAAGAGGAAUAGAACUUAGUGCAAACUCAUUUCCAUUGGGGGGGCGGGGGGGGGGGGACACAGACAGGGUAUUCUUUAUUCACUUACGGAAACAGGUACAGAACCCCAGGGCAAAAGCGGAACAAGUCAUACAUCAACAUGGGAACCUGAGAUUGGGCCAUAAAACCAACGAAAAAGAGGCAGUAGCAGAAAUGGUGUGUAGAGUGUUCAUAGACCUUCUCGAAUUCGUGGAAGAAUUUUACACAAUACAGCCCCGUUACCAAACAUCAGGUAACACCUAUGUUAUUAUCAAACCCAUCAAUUGAAGGACAACCAAAAACUAGGGAAAUAGAUAGUGCGGAACCGGAAAAGGUAGAGAGAACCACCACUGCACCCCAUCCGACAAUCAAUGCUACUAUCGACCCUGAAAUCCGUCAGAAGCACAAAGACAAAAUGCAACAAUUUCAAAAAUAUAUGGUCCUAGGAGUACUGAGAGAACGCAGCCCGGGCAUCCGUAGACUUACAAUAUGGGCUAAAACUAAACUGCAUCACUCCUUCAAGUGUCUCAUUAUCCGAGAUAACAACUACAUAGAGCUACAAUUCACAUAGGAGGAAGGCAUAAGACAAACCCUUAGUACCUAUUCCUACAGAGUAGAUAAUAGGGAACUAUGCUGCUACCCAUGGUCCCCAUAUUACAAAAAAGACGAACUAGCAUCACAUAAGCAACUUAAGACAGCGCUUUGAGCACAAGUGAAUAGUCUCCCCCACUCUCUCCGAACCAAAAUAUUCUUCACUCGAUAUUGCACCAAACAUUUAAGAUACUUCUGAUCGACGAUAGAGAAACAUAUAGAGCGAAACUAUCCGGACCAAGAGUAAGGAUCUUGACUGACAACACAGAGGACCUCCCUAGGUCAAUCUGGAUCAUGAGAAUGGACACGGAUACAGAAAAUGAGUAUAUGAUUGAAUACAAAGGAUUUAAUGAACAGUGCAACCGGUACCACUCCUAUGAACACAAUGUAGGCAAAUGCACUUUAGUCAGACAACUAGCGAGCGAAAGGAUUGCAGAACGGAAAAAGCAAAGGCAAAGAAAAUCUAUUCGCCACACAAACUCGUCAACAGAUCCCAAGGAACCUACAAAACAACAGAAGCAUAACAGAGUCAGUUCUAAGAAACAAAACUUCAUCUGGCAGCCUAAAGCUAAACUAGAAGCCAGAGAAGAAAGCAAUCCAGUAGCAGCCGGGCACAUUGGUUACUCAACGACCCAAAUACACUAAUUUCUGGGAAGCCCUAGGCUAGAAUUCCCCGACUGAAACAGAGUGCUCAGCUGCUAUCGUCUCCAUAUUCCUAAGGACAAGGACCGAUAAACUAUAUGAGACUCCAAUCAUCCACCAAGCUACAAAAAGAGGCCACCCACCCAUCUCGUUCUACCUCACACAACAACAAAAUCUUACAAGAUGGACGACAGAACAAGCACGCCUCCAUCUGACAAAUAAAAUAAUGCGCCACCUACGGUAGAAAACCAUACUAAAAAUUCAACACAUCAAUUCCAUUCGAAGCUGGACAGACGCAACAUGGAAGUACAAGUGGACAAGCCCUUCAGACAAUACAAC
rnacentral:lncRNA from 1 species